GAUGAACGCUGGCGGCGUGCCUAAUACAUGCAAGUCGAGCGCGAGAUUGAGGAGCUUGCUCCUCAUGAUCGAGCGGCGGACGGGUGAGUAACACGUAGGCAACCUACCCUUGAGAUUGGGAUAACUACCGGAAACGGUAGCUAAUACCGGAUACGACUUUACUGCAUAAGCAGUUCAGUUAAAAGGCGGAUUUAUCUGCCGCUCAUGGAUGGGCCUGCGGUGCAUUAGCUAGUUGGUGAGGUAGUGGCUCACCAAGGCGACGGUGCAUAUCCGACCUGAGAGGGUGAUCGGCCACACUGGGACUCAGACACGGCCCAGACUCCUACGGGAGGCAGCAGUAGGGAAUCUUCCGCAAUGGACGAAAGUCUGACGGAGCAACGCCGCGUGAGUGAUGAAGGGUUUCGGCUCGUAAAACUCUGUUGUUAAGGAAGAACACUUGAGGUAGUAACUGGCCUUGAGAUGACGGUACUUAACCAGAAAGCCACGGCUAACUACGUGCCAGCCGCCGCCGUAA
rnacentral:rRNA from 1 species